CCAUGCUCUGCUCGCGGCUGCUCAGCCAUGACGAUGGCGAUGGCGAAAUCGCUCUCCCUCGCUCCCAAACUCCUCCUCUUCCUCAGCCCCUUCGUUUCUCCCGCCGUCCUCGCUCUCUCGUCGUUCUCGUUUCCCUCCGCGCCGCCGCGUUUCUUCUCCACCACCUCCACCCCCUACCCUCUGCAGUACGACCUCAUCGUCAACCGCUCGGCCCAGUCCUCGCUCGCCAGGACCCGCCCCCGUCUCGGCGGUGGCGGCGAGAGCGCCCCCGGCCCCGAGCCGGACGCCUCCGAGAGGCCUGACGUGGAGCUCGGGUUCGACGACUGGGCGCACCGGAAGCUCUCGCCGGGGGCGGAUCCGGGGAUGGACAAGUCGAAGAGGAAGUACUACAGCAAGAGGAUGAAGAGGAUGUACGGGUCCGAUUCCGAGGACGAGAGGAGGCGGAGGGCGGGUUCGUAGAGUUCCAUAGGUUGCACAAGAGGGAGGAGGAGCUGUACUUCUACGAUGCGUUCGCUUACCCGUGGGAGAAGGACAAGCAUUACAAGAUGGUGUAUCAGCUGGAGAAGAAGUAUUUCCCCGAGCAUUGCCUCGAUAAGGCGUUCCUCGAGCUGGGAGAGAGUGGUGGGUCGAAGGGAAGGGGAAGAAGGAUAAGAGGAGAGUGAACGAGGGUAAGGAAAAGAUGGAGGAUAAGAAAUUGGUGUUCUUUGAGGAGGAGGAGAAGAAGGAUGGUGAUGACUUGACGAGGGAGGAGGGGGAGAAGGAUGUGAUGGAGAAGAAGGUGGAGGAGUUCUUCAAGUGUUUGAAGAAAGUUCCCAGUGAAAAAAAUGCGGUGACUGAGGGCGAGCCCUAUGUUUUGACUCGAAGUACUGAACUUCCUCCGAGAUGGGAUGGGCCUCAUGGGACGGUGGUUUUGAUAAACAAACCCAAGGACAAAAUUUGAUAUUCAGGGUAAUGUGUUCAAAAGGGACGUACAUCCGUUCUCUGUGUGCUGAUUUUGGGAAGACCCUCGGCAGCUGCGCUCAUUUGACUGCUUUAAGGAGAGACUCCAUAGGUAAAGUCCCUUCUGUGCUAUUUUUUGAGUCUUGAAUUAAUCCAUGUUUAAAUCUUUUCUGCAAGUUAUCUAGGGGUUGAGCAUGAGGCGGUAUGAUAUCGCAUCACUGUCUUACUUGCAACCUUUUGGUGGGUAUUUCUUUCUUCACUUUGUAUUCUAGGGCAUGAGGAGGGUCGUGCAACAGUCUGCCGCAACUGUAUGAUAUCGCCUAAGGCCAGCGAGCCGGCCUUCAUCGGUCGUGGCCUCUGGCUGGUCGCCGGAGGUUGGGCGAUUGGUAGCGGAAAAAAAAAAAAAAAAAAA